rnacentral:rRNA from 1 species
CCUACGGGUGGCAGCAGUGAGGAAUAUUGGUCAAUGGACGAGAGUCUGAACCAGCCAAGUAGCGUGAAGGAUGACUGCCCUAUGGGUUGUAAACUUCUUUUAUAUGGGAAUAAAAUGUUCCACGUGUGGGAUUUUGUAUGUACCAUAUGAAUAAGGAUCGGCUAACUCCGUGCCAGCAGCCGCGGUAAUACGGAGGAUCCGAGCGUUAUCCGGAUUUAUUGGGUUUAAAGGGAGCGUAGGUGGAUUGUUAAGUCAGUUGUGAAAGUUUGCGGCUCAAACAUAAAAUUGCAGUUGAAACUGGCAGUCUUGAGUACAGUAGAGGUGGGCGGAAUGCGUGGUGUAGCGGUGAAAUGCUUAGAUAUCACGAAGAACUCCGAUUGCGAAGGCAGUUCACUGGACUGCAACUGACACUGAGGCUCGAAAGUGUGGGUAUCAAACAGGAUUAGAUACCCUAGUAGUC